AUAUAUUUUCUGCUUUAUAUUUGUUCAAUAUCUUCAAGAAACCGCUGCUCAUGCUUGGGAUAUGUUAAAGGAAAUUACUUUAUGAAAGUUGCGUAUAGUUGAACGUUAUAGGAUAUGAGAAAAUAUUACAGGCGAAUUAUUGCCUUUCGCGAACGAAAUAGAAGACAAAAAGACCAUUUUUCAACGCGACAAUGCUUCCAUUCAUACAGCUGUCGCUAUAAAAAAGAUGUUUCAAGAUUUUGUAAUAGAGUUAUUACCGUGGCCAGCAUUGAGUGCUGAUCCGAACACGACCGAAAACCUGCAGCGGAAUUUUAACAAGAAAAAUUUACGAUCAGAAGGAAUUACCUAAAAUAAAAAAUAUCAUUGAACUUGAAAGUGAAUAAAAUUCGCAUAGGCGAAUACUCAAAACGAAACUGUAAAAAAUAAGUUAAUGAAUAGCGUACUCAACAGAUUAAUAGAAGUGAUCGAAGAUAAAGAGAAAUCCACUAAAUAUCGAAUGAAAAGACUUCGAAAAAAAAAAAUCUUUGUCGUAUCUUCAGUUUUGUUUCACGUUAUAAUACAAAAUUAUAUAAACGAUUUUGUCAAUUAUUGUUUCAAUAUGGUGAAAAAUCUAAAACUAGGAUUGAGUUUAUAACUCAUACACGAGACGUGCGCAAGAAUUUUCUAUGACGAAUGUCGAAAUCCUUCCGCGAGCCACUGCAAGGAUCGUCGUCACGUACGCGAGUAAGCACAUAGUUACGAUAACGACUCCUCCAGGCAGAAACGAAGGCCAACGUGGAAUUUAAUUAUAAUUGAAUCAACCGCGUCUCCUGACCUGAGACAAUCACUUGGUCGACUCAGUGAAUCGAUUAUUUCAACGUGCACCCUGAGAUGACUAAAUAUUGAAAUUAAGCAAUUAGUGCUAUUAUUAGGUAAACUCGAGGAUUCAGUUUGACGCAACUGCCCCUUUCACACUUGCGAUAGCGAAUAAAAAAGACUUACGUCUUUCGUAUUAAUAUUUUGUGCUAAUAGCUCAGCAUAAAUAUAGACAAUGAAUAUAAGAUCAGCUUUCACAAAGUUGCUUGAAACGAACAGAGGCGCGUCGACAUUUUCUUGGUGCACUCUUUGUCUAAUUCUUUCUAUCCAGCAUGAAAAACGAAUCUACUCUUUGCGCAAAGAUGUGUAUGUAUCGAGGACAGUGAAUUCCGAAAUUAUCUUGAAAGUGUAGAAAGAAAACUUCUACUAUUUCUCCGAACAGCCAACUUGUCGAUACCGUGAUGCGGUUUGGUAGAAAAUAAAAUUAGCCUUAUUUACA